rnacentral:rRNA from 1 species
CCAAUAGCGUAUAUUAAAGUUGUUGCAGUUAAAAAGCUCGUAGUUGAAUUUCGGGAUCAAUACGUCGGUCGUGCCUCUGGUAUGUACUGGUGUUAUUGGUUCCUCCUUUCUGAGGAGCCAUGAUGCCAUUAAUUUGGUGUCGUGGGGAACCAGGACUGUUACUUUGAAAAAAUUAGAGUGUUUAAAGCAGGCACACGCUUGAAUACAUUAGCAUGGAAUAAUGAAAUAGGACGUUCGAUUCUAUUUUGUUGGUUUCUAGGAUCAACGUAAUGAUUAAUAGGGAUAGUUGGGGGCAUUAGUAUUCAAUUGUCAGAGGUGAAAUUCUUGGAUUUAUUGAAGACUAACUACUGCGAAAGCAUUUGCCAAGGAUGUUUUCAUUAAUCAAGAACGAAAGUUAGGGGAUCGAAGACGAUCAGAUACCGUCGUAGUCUUAACCAUAAACUAUGCCGACUAGGGAUCGGAUGAUGUUAACUUUUUAAUGACUCAUUCGGCGCCUUACG